GACGUAGGGGGCGAGCGUUGUCCGGAUUUAUUGGGCGUAAAGAGCGCGUAGGCGGCCCGGAAAGUCGGAUGUGAAAACCCGGGGCUCAACCCCGGGCCUGCAUCCGAUACUCCCGGGCUGGAGGCAGGUAGGGGGAGAUCGGAAUUCCUGGUGUAGCGGUGAAAUGCGCAGAUAUCAGGAGGAACACCGGUGGCGAAGGCGGAUCUCUGGGCCUGUCCUGACGCUGAGGCGCGAAAGCUAGGGGAGCGAACAGG
rnacentral:rRNA from 1 species